rnacentral:rRNA from 1 species
UAGGGAAUCUUCCGCAAUGGGCGAAAGCCUGACGGAGCAACGCCGCGUGAGUGAUGAAGGUCUUCGGAUCGUAAAACUCUGUUAUUAGGGAAGAACAAAUGUGUAAGUAACUAUGCACGUCUUGACGGUACCUAAUCAGAAAGCCACGGCUAACUACGUGCCAGCAGCCGCGGUAAUACGUAGGUGGCAAGCGUUAUCCGGAAUUAUUGGGCGUAAAGCGCGCGUAGGCGGUUUUUUAAGUCUGAUGUGAAAGCCCACGGCUCAACCGUGGAGGGUCAUUGGAAGCUGAAAAACUUGAGUGCAGAAGAGGAAAGUGGAAUUCCAUGUGUAGCGGUGAAAUGCGCAGAGAUAUGGAGGAACACCAGUGGCGAAGGCGACUUUCUGGUCUGUAACUGACGCUGAUGUGCGAAAGCGUGGGGAUCAAACAGG